CCUACGGGGGGCUGCAGUGAGGAAUAUUGGUCAAUGGACGAGAGUCUGAACCAGCCAAGUAGCGUGAAGGAUGACUGCCCUAUGGGUUGUAAACUGCUUUUAUAUGGGAAUAAAAUGUUCCACGUGUGGGAUUUUGUAUGUACCAUAUGAAUAAGGAUCGGCUAACUCCGUGCCAGCAGCCGCGGUAAUACGGAGGAUCCGAGCGUUAUCCGGAUUUAUUGGGGUUAAAGGGAGCGUAGGUGGGUUUUUAAGUCAGUUGUGAAAGUUUGCGGCUCAACCGUAGAAUUGCAGUUGAUACUGGCAGUCUUGAGUACAGUAGAGGUAGGCGGAAUUCGUGGUGUAGCGGUGAAAUGCUUAGAUAUCACGAAGAACUCCUAUUGCGAAGGCAGUUCACUGGACUGCAACUGACACUGAGGCUCGAAAGUGUGGGUAUCAAACAGGAUUAGAUACCCGAGUAGUC
rnacentral:rRNA from 1 species